GCAAAUAUUGUUAAAAGAUGGAUAUUUACUUUGACUGGACUGUAAUUAUACUUGGAACGGGAGAGAUUUAUAUACCGUUUCUCUUCCUGUCUUAAUACAUUUUUCACAGCUAUUUAUUGAUUGGGUAAACGUAAAUGCCUGUCUGGGACCGACACAAAUGUGGUGCCAUCUGUUAACUUAAUUCUGAAUUAAUUAUUUUUAAUUUUUAUAUAAAUGAAUCUUCAAUAGAACAAUUCAGCUAACCUAUAGUAUUCUGCAGAGUAAUCUAAUCUUCAUCUACAGAGUCUGUCGAUAUAGAAAAUGCCAUUUAUAAUCUACAUGAUGGAUUGACACAUCAUUCAUGUUGGCGUCAUUUCACAGUAGACUUAAUCAGGUAUUCCAUUUUGCAUUUUUGAUAUAUGCAUUGUAUGUUAUUUGCGAUGGGCAAACAACAUUCUUCGGACCUUAUUUUAAUCAAGAUAAAAUAGGUAAGCUUAAAAUAAUGUAAUUUUUUUUCCUAUACUAGCUUAUUUAUAAUUAUAAAAAUAAAACUUUAAUCUUCUUGACUUAAUUUAUUAUAGUUUUCGAUAGAGUAGAGUUUAUAUAACAUAGUUUAUAUCAUGGUUUUUAAUAAUUACUAUUAUUUUCACCUUUGACGUGAUCUUCUUUCGAUUUUUAUCGAUUUUAGUGCGGAAAAAAAGACCAAACCCAUAACUUAAAAUGAAACAUAGUUAUCAAUUAACUGGAGAGUUAUUUUCUGUCUACUUAUAAUUUGUCCCCUCGUAAACUUUCGAUUUUGUUUUUAUUUUUUUAUUUUUAUUUUUAUCUAUUUCUUUCUUUCAUGUACAAAAAUUUAUCAUAUAA